rnacentral:rRNA from 1 species
AUUGAACGCUGGCGGCAGGCUUAACACAUGCAAGUCGAGCGGGGUGAUGGUGCUUGCGCUAUCACUUAGCGGCGGACGGGUGAGUAAUGCUUAGGAAUCUGCCUAUUAGUGGGGGACAACAUCUCGAAAGGGAUGCUAAUACCGCAUACGUCCUACGGGAGAAAGCAGGGGAUCACUUGUGACCUUGCGCUAAUAGAUGAGCCUAAGUCGGAUUAGCUAGUUGGUGGGGUAAAGGCCUACCAAGGCGACGAUCUGUAGCGGGUCUGAGAGGAUGAUCCGCCACACUGGGACUGAGACACGGCCCAGACUCCUACGGGAGGCAGCAGUGGGGAAUAUUGGACAAUGGGGGGAACCCUGAUCCAGCCAUGCCGCGUGUGUGAAGAAGGCCUUAUGGUUGUAAAGCACUUUAAGCGAGGAGGAGGCUCUUUUUGUUAAUACCCAAGAUGAGUGGACGUUACUCGCAGAAUAAGCACCGGCUAACUCUGUGCCAGCCGCCGCGGUAA